UACGUAGGGCGCAAGCGUUGUCCGGAAUUAUUGGGCGUAAAGAGCUCGUAGGCGGCUUGUCACGUCGGGUGUGAAAGCCCGGGGCUUAACCCCGGGUCUGCAUUCGAUACGGGCUAGCUGGAGUGUGGUAGGGGCAAUCGGAAUUCUUGGUGUAGCGGUGAAAUGCGUAGAUAUCAAGAGGAACACCUGAGGUGAAGACGGGUUGCUGGGCCGACACUGACGCUGAUAGCGCGAAAGCCAGGGGAGCAAACGGG
rnacentral:rRNA from 1 species